rnacentral:rRNA from 1 species
UACAGAGGGCCCAAGCGUUGUUCGGAUUCACUGGGCGUAAAGGGUGUGUAGGUGGUAAGGCAAGUCGGGUGUGAAAUCUCCGGGCUCAACCCGGAAAUGGCAUUCGAAACUACCUUGCUAGAGGGUUUGAGGGGGGACUGGAAUACUUGGUGUAGCAGUGAAAUGCGUAGAUAUCAAGUGGAACACCAGUGGCGAAGGCGAGUCCCUGGACAACUCCUGACACUGAGGCACGAAAGCUAGGGGAGCAAACAGG